AACGAACGCUGGCGGCAUGCCUAACACAUGCAAGUCGAACGGGAUCCUAGCUUGCUAGGUGAGAGUGGCGGACGGGUGAGUAACACGUGGGAAUCUGCCUUUUUGGUUCGGGAUAACCGCGGGAAACUGCGGCUAAUACCGAAUGCCCUCGAGAGAGGAAAGAUUUAUCGCCAGAAGAGGAGCCCGCGUCCGAUUAGGUAGUUGGUGGGGUAAAGGCCUACCAAGCCGACGAUCGGUAGCUGGUCUGAGAGGAUGAUCAGCCACACUGGGACUGAGAUACGGCCCAGACUCCUACGGGAGGCAGCAGUGGGGAAUAUUGGACAAUGGGGGCAACCCUGAUCCAGCAAUGCCGCGUGAGUGAUGAGGCCUUAGGGUUGUAAAGUCUCUUUUGACCAGGGAAGAUGAUGACUGUACCUGGA
rnacentral:rRNA from 1 species